UACGAAGGGGGCUAGCGUUGCUCGGAAUUACUGGGCGUAAAGCGCACGUAGGCGGCUUUCUAAGUCGGGGGUGAAAUCCUGGAGCUCAACUCCAGAACUGCCUUUGAUACUGAGGAUCUUGAGUUCGGGAGAGGUGAGUGGAACUGCGAGUGUAGAGGUGAAAUUCGUAGAUAUUGGCUGGAACACCGGUGGCGAAAGCGGCUCUCUGGCCCGGUUCUGACGCUGAGGCGCGAAAGCGUGGGGAGCAAACAGG
rnacentral:rRNA from 1 species